rnacentral:pre_miRNA from 1 species
AGUACAAUUUUUGGGUCAUAUGAUAAGUUUAUUUUCAGUUUUGAAAGGAGAUGCCAAACUGUUUUCCAGGAUAGCCUGUAUCAUUUUGCAUUCCCACCAGCACU